GAGCUCGCUGCCUGCCUGCCUGCUCGCUCGAGCCGGGGACGAGACGCCCCCCACCUCUCCAGCUCGGCCUCUCCAUCCAAGUUCCCGGUCCCCGGCCGCCCGGAUCCGGGGAUGGCAACCGCCGCCCGCCCGCCUCUGCGCCCUUUUUUCCAGCCGCCGCGCAGAAAUUUAGGUCAAGGACGUCGGGAUCAAACCCAAACCCUGGCGCUCCUCGGGCGCUCCCGGAGACCCCCAGGACGAGGGGCGGGGGGCUUUCAGGAUGGUGCGGACACCCUCCGCACAAACCCCAGCCACAAGUUUUAUUUUCCUUUCGCGCUGGAAGUUCUGUCUGGCUCUCGAUCCACACCGGCACGUCUUGCGCGGCUCCCCGCCCUUCCCCGGCAGAGGACACAAUGAGAUACACUCAACACCAAAACUGCAGCAGGUCCGCUGUGGGUCUUGGAAAAGCGGACUAUGAAAAAUCCCAACAUCAACCAAAGCCUUGAUCUCCCUGUCUCCUCAAUUGGGGUAAUUCUGUCCUUUACAGACUUGAUAGGGAACUUUCGUAUCCGUGUCCGUAAGUCAACCGGGCUGCAGUUUUCCCUUCUCAUAUUGCCUUUCUCUGGUGAUACUGGCCUCAUGAAAUGAUCUGGUAAGAUUCCUAUAAACAGCAUACAGUUGGACCUUGCUCUUUUAUUUAUUGGGUUGACUGAUUUUUCUCUUGGUCUUUGGCUUCCUGCAUUCUCACCACGCUGUGUUCAGGUGUGAAUCUCUUUUAUUUAUAUGGUUCAAGGUUCACCGCAUAUCCGAAAAUCCCAGGAUGCACGUUUCUGAUCAGGUCUGUAGCACUGUCCGCCGUCAUCUAUGUAAAUCCCGUCUCUCUUGCACUGCCUCUGUUCUGUCCUGCUGCUGCUGCUG